rnacentral:lncRNA from 1 species
GACAAGUAAAAUAAGCAACAACAUACGGUGUGUCUGGGGACGGUAAAAGGGGGCAAGUAAAAUGAAUGGAGGAAAUACUACUCUAUACGGUAGUAUAGAAAAAAAAAAAAAAAAAAAGACACUUGAUUUUAGCAAAUAUUUAUUUUUAUUACAGGCGUCUAAGUAAAAUGAAAAGAGGAAGUAGAAGCCAAAGUUAAAGUAGGACGUGCCAUGAGAAGAUGAUCCAAAUGAGGGCUAUCAACAAUUUCAGCUGAAAUUAACACAACAAAAGUACUCCCUCUAUGUGCAAGAAAAUAAGGCCAAGCUUCUCUAAAAAAAUCCAACGAAUAAAUCAUCUUUUAUAACACUGUUCAAAGCUGCAGCACUCUCAGUCUCCCCGUUAACCCCGCACUUAAUUGAUAUUCUCUUCACAAAAUUAACUCCGAAUGAUAACAUUUUUCGUCUUCCCCGAGAAGAAAAUGGUUGUAUACGUUGUUUAGUAACUGGAGUACAAGAACUUGACGGUAAAAUUGACAUUGGGACUUGGUGGAGUCGAAGAAUUUUGAAGAAAAGAAUUUGCUGGAUGCCGAAGUGGAUGUGAACCGGUAAGAACCGGUGUGGUUCCUGGUUAAUUGUUGAAAAGGUAGGUCCGGUUAGACCGGGUGUUUUGCUUAGGUAAGAUAUUGAUUCUGUGACGCUCGGCGGAGGCUAACAACCAUCAUUGUUUAUCUAUUAUUCUACUAUCUACACUAUAUUAUGCUAGAUGUUGAGGCCGUGCCAGCACGGGCUCAAUAUAUGUUAUUAUUUAGUUAUAUGUGAUAUAAAUAAAAUUUAGAUAAUCAAACAUAUUUUUAAUAUGCUUUAAAUAUUUUAAAUUGUUAAUUGUCAUAAUUUAUAAUACAUUUUAUAUAAUUUGUAAAUAAUACAUGUUACUCUACUUGUUCAAAUUUUUGUAGCAUCAAUAGUCAAUUAUAUUUUUAGAAUAUUUAAGUUUUCAAUUAUUGAGAUUUAUAAUAUCUUUUUUUAAUUUCAGUUUAAGUAGUAUAUAUAUAAUUUCUAGAGUCAACCAAAUAUUUUAUAUUUUUAAAAAAAUUUAAGUUGUUAUGUUACAUAUUAUAUUUUUAGAUAUUUUAACUUGUUAAUUAUUGUAAUUUAUAAUACUUUUUUAUGUAAUUUUCAAAUAAUACAUGUUACUCUCCUCAUCGAAAGUUUUGUAGCGUUGAUAUUCAAUUAUAUUUUUAACUAUUCCAAUUUAAGUGGCACUGAUAUAAUUUAAAGAAUCAACCAAAUAUUUUAUAUCUUUUAAAUUUUUAAAUUGUUAAUUAUUGUGAUCUAUAGUAUUUUUUAAGAAUGUAUAACAGAUUUUUUUUUUAGAUAUUUUAAGCCGUUAAAUAUUAUAAUUUAUAAUAUAUUUUAGAGAAAAUAUUCAAUUACCCCCUGAACUAUAUCCAAAAAGGUUAUGACACACCUGAACUUAAAGGGGGUCCGAUUACCCCUAAACUAAUUAAAAGUGGAAUUUUCACCCCCUUAGUGCCUAUGUGGCACACACGUGUGCCUACGUGGACACUUCAGUGUGUUAUGCCACGUAUGUGCCACAUAGGCACUAAGGGGGUGAAAAUUUCACUUUUAAUUAGUUCAGGAGUAAUAGGGCUCCCUUUAAGUUGAAGUGUGUCAUAGCCUUUUUGGUAUAGUUCAGGGGGAUAAUUGGGUAUUAUCUCUAUAUUUUAUGUUAUUUUAAAAUAAUAUAUAUUACUCUCCUUGUUCAAAAUUUUGUGACACUGAUAGUCAAUUAUAUUUUUAAAAUGGUUUAACUUUUUAAUUACUGUGAUUUAUAGUACUUUUUCUUCUACUAUAAAUUAAGUGAUUAUGAAUAAUUUCGAGAGUCAGCCAAAUAUUUUAUAUCUUUUAAAUUUUUAAGUUGUUAAUUAUUGUGAUUUACAUGAAUUUUUUUCGUAUCUUUUGAAAUAUAGAACAAAUUAAAAAAAAUAAGACAAACAAAUUAAAAUGGAUGAAAAAAUGAAGGCGAGGAAAAGGACCAAUGAAGUUGUGUCAGAACAGACAGAUUAAUCUUUGAAUUUUUUAAGUUGUCAAUUAUUGUGAUAUAUAGUAUUUUUUACGUAUUUUUUAAAAAAUAUAUAUGACAUUUUUUUUUUUGAUAUUUUAAAUUGCUAACUAUUGCAAUUUAUAAUACUUUUUAUUCAUAUUUAAAUAAUAUAUGUUAUUCUCUCUAUCCAAACUUUGUUGGCAUUGAUAGUCAAUCAUAUUUUUAAAAUAAUUUAAUUUUUUAAUUAUUGUGAUUUAUUAUAUUUUCACUUCUAUUCCAAUUUAAGUGGCACAAUAUUUAGAUGGUCAUAAUAAUUAAUUAGGGAUGAUUUAGUAAAAUCAUAAUGGAAGCAGCAAAUUAGACAUGUUUUAAAUGAUUUAUAAUAACUAAUUAGAAGUAAUAUAACAAAAUUAUUAUAAAAAAUUACUUAUGGGAAAAAAAAUUAUGAAUUUUUUUUCGUAUCUUUUUGAAAUAUAGAACAAAUUAAAAAAAUAAGACAAACAAAUUAAAAUGGAUGAAAAAAUGAAGGCGAGGAAAAGGACCAAUGAAGUUGUGUCAGAACAGACAGAUUAAUCUUUGAAUUUUUUAAGUUGUCAAUUAUUGUGAUAUAUAGUAUUUUUUACGUAUUUUUUAAAAAAUAUAUAUGACAUUUUUUUUUUUGAUAUUUUAAAUUGCUAACUAUUGCAAUUUAUAAUACUUUUUAUUCAUAUUUAAAUAAUAUAUGUUAUUCUCUCUAUCCAAACUUUGUUGGCAUUGAUAGUCAAUCAUAUUUUUAAAAUAAUUUAAUUUUUUAAUUAUUGUGAUUUAUUAUAUUUUCACUUCUAUUCCAAUUUAAGUGGCACAAUAUUUAGAUGGUCAUAAUAAUUAAUUAGGGAUGAUUUAGUAAAAUCAUAAUUGAAGCAGCAAAUUAGACAUGUUUUAAAUGAUUUAUAAUAACUAAUUAGAAGUAAUAUAACAAAAUUAUUAUAAAAAAUUACUUAUGGGAAAAAAAAUUAUGAAUUUUUUUUCGUAUCUUUUUGAAAUAUAGAACAAAUUAAAAAAAUAAGACAAACAAAUUAAAAUGGAUGAAAAAAUGAAGGCGCGAGGAAAAGCCAAUGAAGUUGUGUCAGAACAGACAGAUUAAUCUUUAAAUUUUUUAAGUUGUCAAUUAUUGUGAUGUAUAGUAUUUUUUUACGUAUUUUUUAAAAAAUAUAUAUGACAUUUUUUUUUGUUGAUAUUUUAAAUUGCUAACUAUUGCAAUUUAUAAUACUUUUUAUUAAUAUUUAAAUAAUAUAUGUUAUUCUCUCUAUCCAAACUUUGUUGGCAUUGAUAAUCAAUCAUAUUUUUAAAAUAAUUUAAUUUUUUAAUUAUUGUGAUUUAUUAUAUUUUCACUUCUAUUUCAGUUUAAGUGGCACAAUAUUUAGAUGGUCAUAAUAAUUAAUUAGGGAUGAUUUAGUAAAAUCAUAAUUGAAGCAGCAAAUUAGACAUGUUUUAAAUGAUUUAUAAUAACUAAUUAGAAGUAAUAUAACAAAAUUAUUAUAAAAAAUUACUUAUGGGAAAAAAAAAUUAAGUGGACCUCAUAUAUGACGUCUAGUUAAUUCAACAUUAAAUAUUAUUAAUUUUUAAUACUUAAAUGAUUCUAUAAUAAUUUUUUUAAAGUUAUUUUUUUAAUAUUAAUUUUUUAAUACAUAGACGACUUAUAAUAAUUAAUUAGGGGUGAUAUAGUUAAAUUAUGGUUGAAGCAACUGAAGCAAACAUGUCAUAAAUGUCUAUUUACUUUUUUUUAUUAAAUAUUAUUAAUUUUCUAAUACAUAGAAGACAUAUAAUAAUUAAUUAGGAGCGAUAUAGUAAAAUUAUGGAGCAAGCAGCUAAACAGUCGACAAGCGGACGACCGGAAGCUGCACACUCCCUCUCCUAUUCACUCUUAUUAUAUAGAGUAAAGUAAUGUCUUUUAAAUAUGUUAAGUUGUUAAUUAUUAUUAUUCAUAGUAUUUUUAACACCAUUCAAAUAAUUAUCCCAAUUUAUGCAACAUCGCAAAAAUUUUGAGAAGCAAUUAAUUUUUUUAUCAUGCCUUAUUUUAAAAUUAAUUAUUGUGUAUAGUAUUUUUUUUUUUACGUAAAUUUAGAAUAAAUAUAAAUAGUUCUAAAAAAAAUCCUCAAAUAAUAAUAAAUGGAACUUUGAGAAGCUUAGUUGUCAUUUUUAAAAAAUGACCCUAAGCUCAUCAUUCACUCUUAUCAUUUUCCAAACUGACUCUAAGCUCAUCAAAAAAAUAUAAGAGGGAAUUUGAGGAACUUAUUUAUCAUUUUUUAAAGUUGAUUCAAAGCUCCUCUCAUUCUUACUUUUAUAUAUCUUUUAAAUAUUUUAAGUUGUUAAUUAUUAUUAUCUAUAAUAUUUUUUAUGUUCAUUUUCAAAUAGUUAUCCCAAUUUAAGCAACAUUGCAAAUAAUUUGAGAAGAAAUCAGUUUUUUAUCAUGCCUUUUAAAUAUUUUAAUAUUAAUUAUUAUAAUGUAUAAUUUUUUUAUGAAAAUUUUAAAUAAAUAUAAAUAAUUCUAUAAAAAUCCUCAAAUAAUAAUAAAUGAAACUUUGAGGAGCUUAGUUGUCUAAUUAUUAUUAUUUAUAGUAUUUUUUAUAUCAUUUUCAAAUAGUUAUCCCAAUUUAAGCAACGCUGCAAAAAAUUUGAGAAGCAAUCAAUUUUUUAUCAUGCCUUUUAAAUAUUUUAACAUUCAUUAUUAUAAUGUAUAAUAUUUUUUUAUGUAAAUUUUAAAUAAAUAUAACUAAUUCUAGAAAAAUCCUUAAAUAAUAAUAAAUGAAACUUUGAGGAGCUUAGUUGUCAUUUUAAAAAAAUGACCCCAAGCUCCUCAUUUUAGUCCUCAUUCACUCUUAUUAUAUAGCGUAAAGUAAUACUAUGGGAAGUUAUGAAAUUAUAUAUUGCUUUUAAUUUUUAUAAAUAUAUUUUUAAAUAUUUAAAUUAAUUAUUUUCAAGAAUUUUAAAUUUAUUGUAAUAGAAUGAAUUAUUAAUAAAAUAUUUUGGACCAUAAAUUUCAAUUUAUUUUCUUUUAGGAAAUGUCUUUUUAUUUUAUUAUACUUAUGACUCUUUUGUCCUAUACAAAAUUAACAACAACAAUACCAGUGUAUUCCCACAAAGUAGAGUUUGGGGAGGGUAAGAUGUACGCAGUCCAUAAUGCUACCUCCGAAGAAGUAGAGAGGUUGUUUCCGAUAGACCCCCGGCUUAAGAUAAAGAAUAGUAAACAGGGGGAUGGAUGACAUAACAGAAAUAAGGAAUAAGGAAUAAUAAAAUAGAAAUUAGAGAAAUAUGAAAUAGGAGAAAUAAGUGCAACACGAAACAAAAAAGUAGGAACUAAGAAAUAAGAAAUAGGACACCCACCUAGUCAUAACAUACACUCACAUACCAAAGAUACCUAUGUACAUAGUCCUACAAUUACUAACCCGGCUACACAAGAUCUCUCCUGACUGCUUGCUACAACCAUACUCACACUAGCUUUCUACCCUUAUCUGCGACCUCCACACCUUCCUAUCUAGGGUCAUGUACUCAGUAAGCUGACUUUCUAUUUAAAAAAUAAUAUUCUCUUCAUCCGAUUUUAUGUAUUAUUUUUUUUUAGUCCAUUUCAAAGAGCGUAUCAUUUUAUUAUUACUAAAAUAAUUUGAUUUUAAAUUUUAUAAUCAUAUAAAUAUUUAAAAUUUAUUUUAAACUAUAAAUUUUUAAAAUAUAUUUUGCUCAGUCAAACAAUACUAGUUCGUGAAAUGAAGGGAGUAAUAUUUUUUCUAUAUGAAAAAUCUCUCUCUAGAUAUAUAUAUAUAAAAGAGUCAUUAGAGGCUGAUGAUGUGGCAUGCCUCAAUGCUUAGUAAACAUAUUUAUCUUUUUUCUGAUUUUUUGAGUUAUUUUUUCUAAUUUUAAUUUAUUACCAUUUAUUUUUUUGUUAGGAUUGGGGAAUUGUUGCGAUUCUUCCUGAAUAGCCUGGAUUCUCCCGUCGAGAGUCACUUUGAAAGUAUUACCUAAACUCUUCCGACUAAAUAUGAUAAAGCCUAUAAAACAUAGAGCUACUAUCAUUUCUUCAUUAUAAAUUGAGCGCUUUUAUCAAUUCUUCAGUGAAAUAGACACCUGUGGAAUUCUAGUCUGUCAUACCUAACCUCUAUUCACAUCGCAAAUAGUGGAUAAGGCGCAUCUGAUCUUUCUUCUUCAGUGCCAGGCAUAAAAAAGAGCUAGCAGAUCUCUGUUGCAUGCAAAUCUUUCUAUCGGGAAAGCCUCGCUUAUUCAAAGGGCUUCUUAUUUAGAACCCUUUUUUUUUGCUUAGUUGUAAGUAAGCGUUGGUAGGAGCGGCGGAAUGAUGAUGAGUAUAUAAAUCAAUAAAGUAAUAAUUAAUAAACCCAUUAAUUAACCAUUAACACAAAAUACCCUCGUCUUCCUCUUUUUUUCCCUCCUCACUUGGCUUUUCUUGAUUACACAUUUUUGGCAUUGGCUCUCAAAACUCUGAUGGAAGAAUGGAGGAAUUAAUCUUAGUUACAUUGGGUAGGUUAUUGUUGUUGUAUUCAAUUAUAAUUCCAUUGAUUUUUAUGAACCAUAGGCAGCUAGAAGAUUUGAACUUGCUAGGUUCAUCCUUUAAAAUUCUUAGCGCCGAGAAUGGAGGUGUUGUUGAUGAAGGGGUUAAGAAAAAAAUGAGAGAAUUGGAGGAAAUAUUUUCGAAAUUGAACCCCCAGACUGAGGAGUUUGUGCCUCCUUCACUCUCCAGCAACCAUGAUGUAGUGCCAAUAUCUCCAAGUGGAGAGCAAUUUGGCUUUGAUGCUUUCAAUUUUGUAACGCAAAAUGGACUCGCCGAUGAAAUUUUUAACAGAAAGGUAUCUAUCUUUUCCUGUUAUCAUUUAGUAGCUACUGAAAGACAGUUUAUUUGCAAAUAUUAGGUUCUUUCGUUGACUGUUUGUUCUUAUGGGUUGCCUUAUUUAUGUUAAAAUAUAAUCUAUAACUUAAGGUGGGAAUUUCAUAAUUGGUAUCAUACCUCGAUUAUUCUAUUGUAGUAUUGUUAUUUAUGUUCUAUUACUGUGUGUUGUUUUCUGGUAUUACUUCUUUUGCGGACUUUUUUGGACUGUUUUUUCCUUGAGCACAUAAAAAACGUCUCUAACUCUUAAGGUAGUGAUAAGGUGUAGAUGCACUUUACUCUUCUAGAGCCACUUUGUGGGACUAUACUGGGUAUAUUGUUGUUAUCAUGCAAGAACAUAUAUGGAUGAGAAUAUAGUAAGGUCCAAAAAGGUGCAGUAAUGUUUUUCUCUGUCCUCAUUGUCUAAAAAAGACAAGUUUAUUGUCUUUCACCUUUUGUAAGCUUAUUUGUAAUGAGUCAUUAUAAUAUAGUCGUGGCUAAUAGUUUUGGUUGAAAUGUACUAGCAGAAGAGAAAUGACUAUGGUUUUGAUAGAAGACGGGAGAAUCUACGGACAACCAUGGCCCAACGUGAAGAGGUUAUAAGGAGGAUAUUUUACGUGUC